CCAUGGUCUGCACCUCCGGCGUCGCGGCUGGCGAGGGCCGGGACGAAGCGGCUACGACGAGCAUGGGUCGGAGCAGAGCGGGCUCACUUGCUCUGGUAGCCUCGCGCGUGGCUUGCCAUGUUACAAAUUGAACCUGAUAUUUUCCUGUGUAUAUUAGCAGUAGUUUUCCUUCGUGUUGCCCGGAUGGGUGCCGGCCGUCGUACCGGAAACUGUCCUUGCUGCUGUUGUUGCGGGCGCCGUCGUCGCCGGCGUUCUUGUUGUCGCCGCCACUGUUAGCUGCUGCAGUAUCAAGGUGAGGCCGAAUAAAAUAAAUCCCCCUCUCCUUCCCACCAGAGCAGAUCCCUCUCCCUCCUCCUCCGCCCUCUUCCGCUUGGAUUUGCUCCCGCUCCCCUCCAUCCCUGCUGCAGUUCCGGCGAGUCUACCCUUGGAUUUGGUUUUCCGUCUUGCGGAUCUGAGAGUCCUCGUUGUUUGGGCUUCGCUGGAUCUGCGGGGGAGGUGUCCGUCUCCGCCCCCUCCACCCUCGCCUCCGCCCGUUCCGUUGCAGCGGUGUGCUCCUCUUUUGCUUGCCCCUUGCAGGUUUUCCUCCCUGGUUGAGCCGCUCACCACCAUCGGCUCUGCAGAGGUCGUCUUCUACUCCGUCGGCGCCGUUUUCAUCUUCACCUUUGGGUCGCCGGCGACGCUCUUCAACUCCGCCCUCUACAUCCAACCUAAGCCUCUGUGAGGCUUCUCCGCACCGGUCCCAAGCGCCUUCAAGGGUCCUUUGUGACGCCGGCGCCUCUGGUGGCCCUCGCCGGUGUGCUCCUCGACGGCGGCGGCGAAGACCUGCAGCCUGGACGCGUGGCCCUCUUGGGGUCAGUCUCAACGACGCGUGUGUGCGUUUGUGUCCAUCCGGCCGUUUGGGGCUGGUUUGUAUUCCGGUCCUCUUUGAGGACCUUUCUGUAAUACCGCUGCUUCUUUAAGGGCAGUCCGAUGGAGUAUUUACGGUGGUUUCUAUGUCUAUUAAUUACCUUGAGGCUUUUUGCUUACGUAGCAAAGCAGUUAAUGAGGAGUGAGAGCACAAAAGAGAGAAACUAUUUCCUUCUCAAGGAAUAAGUGCAAGCUUCGAGACACCACGAAACCACCGAAACGCCAUUGGGGAGACUCCAAUAGUUUCUUGCCGGAUCCCGUACGCCGCCGCCGCCCCAAUUCCUCUCUCGCGCCAUGGCUGAUAGCCACAGAUGAUCUUCUCCCUUUUUAUGUUGCAUUUAAUUUAUCCUUGUAUGGACACUGUUGUAGAAACUAUGAGUUGGGAGAAAUAGUUUCUAUUGACUCAUAGUUUCUAUUGAACAUUAAUUACUCUCUUCUCUUGAAAACUGCUUCUGGAAAUCAUCCAUUGGGACUGCCCUAAUGUAUUAUCAGGUGUUUAACACCUAACCUUUGUUUCUUCACCAACGGCAUAAGCUAGUUAUUGACUUGUUGCCCUACCGUUGUUUGCUUCGUGACCCCUAGCAAUGCACUUCCAUCUACCUGCCUUGCCUGCUCAUGGCCCGAGCCAAGCAGUCUCGUGGAGCAGCAUGCGUUGUGCCUCGUCCUAUCCCGCUCCAUGCCCCGCGCCGAGCAGCCCCACCAUCCUCCUCCUCGCACUUUGAUGACUCCGCACCUCUGUCGCGGCUC
rnacentral:lncRNA from 1 species